ensembl:lncRNA
CUGGAACGCGCUUCGCUGAAGGCGGUUCUGUAACGCAAUGUGUGGGGUUUAAGCAGUUCUCCCCGCCUCCCUCGGCCAUUCGCUUAGCGCGGCCGCGCCUGGGUAGCAGUCAUGAAGCACCCUCUUCCCGUUGGUUGCUCGGAGCCAGUCGCUUCUUAAGCCAAGCCGGCCGAGUUGAGCGCUGCUGUCCAGGGACCCUGGCUCCAAUCAUCACUCUACCCCAAGUUUCGCUGCGGGGCAGAAGGGGCCUAGGAGUCUGAGUCAUGAAAUGGUGCUAGCUGCGGUACUGUAGGAGUGCUGCGAGCCUCUGCUCUGACCUUUGUAAUACAGUGUUAACGAAGCAACAUGUCUUGGGAACCUAUGGUCAAUGAAUGCCUAGAACUGAAGACACACAGCAAGGCUUUCCUUGAUACAGCCUGAUUCAGUAGCAAACCAGACCCCGCACCUGUAAUUCGGUAGAGGAAGUUUGGGGUUACCUUGUUCCCCACUGUUUGCCCUCCAAUCUAAGGGGUAGCAUAAAAUUAGGAACUGGAGCCUCCCCCUUUCUGCCUCCCGGCCCGCUUUAAACACACAGGUCUGCUCCUAGAGCACUUCUUGUCAGGUAGUAUGUUACUUUGGUAAUCCGCAAUGAAACAUGCCUGCUGGCAGUAUAACCUUGUGUGGUCCCCAACCCUGGAAUCUGGACGGACCUGUGACUGGAUUUAACCAAGAAGAAAGUGGAGGAAGUGAUGAUGGGCACGUUCCAGGUCUGAGCCUUAAGAACAACACAGCAAUCCUGAUGUUGAGCUCUUGAAGUCCUGAGCUGCAGCUUCUUUUCCACUGUGCCACAAAGAGAGCAUUUGGAAGAAAAGUAGGAGCCCGAUUAACACCAAGAACUGAGAUCCCAGACACAAAAAUCUGGUAAAUCCAUCCCAGCUGCGGGACCAAGUCAGUGAAGAAAGAAGCCCUUGUUCCAGCCACCUGGGCACUUCCACGUUACCUAGAACAGAGUCUUCCAACAUGAUGUCGCUGAAAGUGGUGCUGGGAAGCCAUGCACAGAACCUGCUCCCACAAGCCAGUGGGAAUCAGCUCCAGCACUAUGAAUGCCUAGAACCCUACCAAGAAACAGAUUCCAGAACAGAAUUAGUCCAAGAGACUUAUUAGGGGAAACACCUGUGAAGGAUAACAAGCAAGGAAGCAAGAAAAGGCAAGCAGAGGAUUCAGACUGCAAUAAAACUCUGACAGCUGUGAAGGAAGGGGGAAG